rnacentral:rRNA from 1 species
GACGAACGCUGGCGGCGUGCUUAACACAUGCAAGUCGAGGGGUCUCCGCAAGGGGGCGACCGCGAACGGGUGCGUAACACGUGAGCGACCUGCCGUCCCUGUGGGGGAGUAGCCAGCCCAACGGCCGGGUAAUACCGCAUACGCUCUGGCCCGGGCAUCUGGGCGANAAGAAAGCUGGGGCAACCUGGCGCAGGACGAGGGGCUCGCGGCCUAUCAGCUGGUUGGCGGGGUAACGGCCCACCAAGGCGACGACGGGUAGCUGGUCUGAGAGGAUGGCCAGCCACA